UUCAAAAUAAUGACCUCUUACAAAUUCCACCAGAGCUCGGUAAUUGUGUAAACUUAAGAACAUUACUACUGGAUGGAAAUCCAUUCCGAGUUCCUCGAGCAGCCAUAUUAAUGAAAGGAACAGCUGCUAUACUUGAAUAUUUGAGAGACCGAAUUCCUACUUAACAUGGAGUUGCUUUAUAACCCUUGUCAUGUAUUAUUAACCCUGGUUAAUUCUAAGGAGGAUGUAACAUUUGUUUUAGUAUCAUCUUAAAAGGUGAUUAUUGUAAUUGAUCUUGUAGUUUCCCAGUAUCACCUACCUGUUGGUAUAAUUAGCCUGGGCCAUAUUCACUGCCAGUAAAUAUUUUUACAUUUUUAUUUAAGAUUUUUGUAAGGUGUUGUAUACAUUUGUAAUGGUGAUAACCACAAUGUGUUCAUACAUUUGUUCUAAAUGUUUUGCUUAUGAUUUAUCCUGCUAACUUUCAUUUUCUUAUAGCAAGCAGUUUUUUCAAAAAUGAAUUUUUAUUUAAUGUGGUUCAGUAUUAUAAUAACAAAGCAUUUUUGUAGAACUGGUUUUUUUUCUCAUUUAUUUUUGUAUUCCAUACAAUGUGACCAAUUGACUUGAAUAUGACUAGCCAGUUUCUAUGUUUUUGUUAGAUAUAAAAUUAAAUCGAAUUUUGUUGAAUACUGUUCUUUGGCAUUUAAAAAAUAAGACCUUCUUAUCUUGGGCCACAUGUCAAAAGAAAAAGGAAACAAAAAUAUAUUAAAAAUAAGACUUUUCAUUACCCAUGAUAGGACUUUUGUGAUAUGGCUAAUCUCAGUACACAUUUCAACUUAAAACCUUUUUAUUUACAGCACCAUAAUUUUAAAAUUUACUUGCAAUCUUGGUAAGACUAAACUUGCAGUGUUUUUCUAAAAGGGAAUUUGAUAGGUAAACUUGAUUUAAUAAAAAUUAAAUAUCAUUUUUGUUUACACCAAAAUUAUCAGAAGUAGGUUGAUUAGUCAUUAUAACACUUACCAUAUGAUUCUAUUAAGAAGUCAAUUCAGUAGCAUGUAUAUCAAUUUAUAUAGAUAGGUAGAUAGCUUUUGGAUGAUUGAGGCAUGCUUAUAUUAUGAAAAAAAUUGCUAAUAAAGAUAAAUACUACAUGUUCAGAAUAAAAGUUACAUUUUUCA
rnacentral:lncRNA from 1 species